UUUCAAAAAGAGAGUCAUCAGUAAUGUCAAAGGUUGCAGAAAACUAGUUCCAGAGUCUAUAAAGUGAAUCCACUGGGGACGACCUGGAGAGAAGAGGAAAGUUUGUUUCAGAAGGAACUGUCUGAGAAAU
rnacentral:snoRNA from 1 species